GCUCCAAUAGCGUAUAUUAAAGUUGUUGCGGUUAAAAAGCUCGUAGUUGGAUUUCUGGGAAGGACGACCGGUCCACCACUGGGUGAGAACAUGGUUCGGCUUGACCAUUUUCUUGGAGAACGCUGCUGCGCUUCGUUGUGUGGGGCGGUAUCCAAGACUUUUUACUUUGAGGAAAUUAGAGUGUUUCAAGCAGGCGCACG
rnacentral:rRNA from 1 species